AUAUGAAGCAUACACUCAAGCUACUCCGCCUAAGUCGCAUUAUUCGCUGAUAUGGCAGUUUGGCCGUGACAAACGUCACCAGGGUGCAGAAAGAAAUAACUGCAUCUCCCGUAUUUGGAAAGGUGUACAUGGUCUCUCAAC
rfam:Escherichia hermannii NBRC 105704 DNA, contig: EH10570423.